CUAGCCAUCUUUCUGCUGGAUUACGGUAGGGAAUGUCUACUCCCAGCAAGGGACAUGCACAGCCACCACCGCCGCCUGUAUCUAGUAUUUCAGAAGAGUCCGACCGAGAUGGGGACAAAGAAUUCGCUAUGCAAGGUGUUCAACCGUUGGGCAAA